AUAGCUCAGUAGAUAGAGAACUUGCUUCCCAAGCAGUUGGUCCUGGGUUCAAUACCCAGU
rnacentral:tRNA from 1 species